UGUUUGGGAGGGUAAAUUUUCCUAGGGCUAAAUAUCGCGGAGAGACCGAUAGCGAACAGUACCGUGAGGGAAAGAUGAAAAGAACUUUGAAAAGAGAGUUAAACAGUACGUGAAAUUGUUGAAAGGGAAACGAUUGAAGCCAGUCGUACCUUCGGGUAAUCAGCCUUUCGGGUGCGAUUCUGUGGAGUGUGAGGAGCUUAACACCUUCAUGCCUUCGCAUUUCCGGGCUCUGGGUGGACCUGGCCCUUGGGGUGGGUAACCUCCAUUUUGGGGGUCCUAAAAUGGCUGGGAGAAAGGUGCUUCCAUUAAUA
rnacentral:rRNA from 1 species